rnacentral:rRNA from 1 species
UACGAAGGGGGCUAGCGUUGUUCGGAAUUACUGGGCGUAAAGCGCGCGCAGGCGGUUCUUUAAGUCAGUGGUGAAAGCCCGGAGCUCAACUCCGGAACUGCCAUUGAAACUGUGGAACUUGAGGAUGAGAGAGGUGAGUGGAAUUCCCAGUGUAGAGGUGAAAUUCGUAGAUAUUGGGAAGAACACCGGUGGCGAAGGCGGCUCACUGGCUCAUUUCUGACGCUCAGGCGCGACAGCGUGGGGAUCAAACAGG